CGAAAAACCUUACCCACCUUUGACAUGUACGGAAUCCUUUACAGAUAGAGGAGUGCUCGAAAGAGAGUCGUAACACAGGUGCUGCAUGGCUGUCGUCAGCUCGUGUCGUGAGAUGUUGGGUUAAGUCCCGCAACGAGCGCAACCCUUGUCAUUAGUUGCUACAUUCAGUUGGGCACUCUAAUGAGACUGCCGGUGACAAACCGGAGGAAGGUGGGGAUGACGUCAAGUCCUCAUGGCCCUUAUAGGUGGGGCUACACACGUCAUACAAUGGCUGGUACAGAGGGUUGCCAACCCGCGAGGGGGAGCCAAUCCCAUAAAGCCAGUCGUAGUCCGGAUCGCAGUCUGCAACUCGACUGCGUGAAGUCGGAAUCGCUAGUAAUCGCGGAUCAGAAUGUCGCGGUGAAUACGUUCCCGGGUCUUGUACACACCGCCCGUCACACCAUGGGAGCGGGUUCUGCCAGAAGUAGUUAGCCUAACCGCAAGGAGGGCGAUUACCACG
rnacentral:rRNA from 1 species